rnacentral:lncRNA from 1 species
GUUAUGCAAUCCAUUUCUCAGCUUUUUUGUCCACAAAUUUUUAAUGGAAUUUACAAAAAGAAUGUUCACAUUACACAUGGCAAUGCGUAAUAAUUCAUGAAGAAAAUUAGCACAUGAUGUCCCCUCCUCUACUUUCUGAUACAAUCCCCACGCCUACACCUUUUAUGAUGCCCACUACCAAGUCCCAAGCCUCGCUAUCUACAAGUGUAAAAAUAUAGCUCCAUCUUUCAAUUCGCCUCCCACAAAAACUUGUAAUCUCUAAUAACUAAAAGAAUACUCUUAUAUAGUAUACAUAUGCAUACAUAGUACUUGGUACUUUGGACCUUUGGUUUCUCGGCUUAAAAUAUGGGCAAUUUGAAGCGUUUAGCAAUUCUAGGCCUCCAUGUCGCAUCUUUAGCUGUCGGUGAAAGCCGGGUUGCAAGAAAGGACUUGGGCAUGGACCGUGGAGGGUCGGGAGUUGGUUUGGGUAAUGGCCUGGGUGGUGGUGGAUGAGGAUCUUGUGCUGGAGCAGGUUCAGGUUCUAGAUCCUCUCGUUGCAAUUCCAGUUCAUCAUCUUCUUCAUCUGGGUCGGGUGAUGGUUCUGGUGCUGGGUUAGAAGCAAGUUCAUAUUCUAGUUCUAGGGCUAGGUUUUCUGAUAUAAUGAAUCAAGAAAGUGUCGCACCACAUCUUAAAGAUACAAAAAGCUUACCUACUUUGUCUAGUCUCACAAGCUGCACUACUUGUAAGACUUGAAACUCUAGAAAUAAUAGUACCACUCUUGCUCAAAUGGAACAACAAAAUAAAAUUGUUUAAUAUGGUUUUGGUUUAUUGGAAGAAAGAUUUUGUAGAUAAUAUAAUGAAUAGAUAUUUAAGAUGUUGUUGUAUAUUUAUAUAUAGGUAAGAGAGUACAAGUAUUUAAAUUCCAAACUAUUAAGGAUUUAAU